rnacentral:rRNA from 1 species
UACAGAGGUCCCAAGCGUUGUUCGGAUUCACUGGGCGUAAAGGGUGCGUAGGUGGCAAGGUAAGUCUGAUGUGAAAUCCCGGAGCUCAACUCCGGAACUGCACUGGAUACUAUCUUGCUCGAGGGUUGGAGGGGAGACUGGAAUUCUCGGUGUAGCAGUGAAAUGCGUAGAUAUCGAGAGGAACACCAGUGGCGAAGGCGAGUCUCUGGACAACUCCUGACACUGAGGCACGAAAGCUAGGGGAGCAAACAGG